UACGGAGGAUGCGAGCGUUAUCCGGAUUUAUUGGGUUUAAAGGGUGCGUAGGCGGGAUGCCAAGUCAGCGGUAAAAAUGCGGUGCUCAACGCCGUCGAGCCGUUGAAACUGGCGUUCUUGAGUGGGCGAGAAGUAUGCGGAAUGCGUGGUGUAGCGGUGAAAUGCAUAGAUAUCACGCAGAACUCCAAUUGCGAAGGCAGCAUACCGGCGCCCUACUGACGCUGAGGCACGAAAGCGUGGGUAUCGAACAGG
rnacentral:rRNA from 1 species